rnacentral:rRNA from 1 species
GGUUUGAUUCUGGCUCAGAUUGAACGCUGGCGGGAUGCUUUACAUGCAAGUCGAACGGCAGCACGGACUUCGGUCUGGUGGCGAGUGGCGAACGGGUGAGUAAUGUAUCCGGAACGUGCCUAGUAGCGGGGGAUAACUACGCGAAAGCGUAGCUAAUACCGCAUACGCCCUUCGGGGAAAGCGGGGACCUUCCGGGCCUCGCACUAUUAAACGGCCGAUAUCCGGAUUAGCUAGUUGGUGGAGUAACGGCUCACCAAGGCGACGAUCCGUAGCUGGUUUGAGGAGGACGACCAGCCACACUGGGACUGAGACACGGCCCAGACUCCUGCAGGAGGCAGCAGUGGGGAAUUUUGGACAAUGGGGGAAACCCUGAUCCAGCCAUCCCGCGUGUGCGAUGAAGGCCUUCGGUUGUAAAGCACUUUUGGCAGGAAAGAAACGGCACAGGAUAAUACCCCGUGCAACUGACGGUACCUGCAGAAUAAGCACCGGCUUAACUACGUGCCAACGGCCGCGGUAAUACGUAGGGUGCAAGCGUUAAUCGGAAUUACUGGGCGUAAAGCGUGCGCAGGCGGUUCGGAAAGAAAGAUGUGAAAUCCCAGAGCUUAACUUUGGAACUGCAUUUUUAACUACCGAGCUAGAGUGUGUCAGAGGGAGGUGGAAUUCCGCGUGUAGCAGUGAAAUGCGUAGAUAUGCGGAGGGGCACCGAUGGCGAAGGCAGCCUCCUGGGAUAACGACGCUCAUGCACGAAAGCGUGGGAGCAAACAGGAUUAGAUACCCUGCCGUGGUCCACACGCCCUAAACGAUAUCAACUAGCUGUUGGGGCCUUCGGGCCUUGGUAGCGCAGCUAACGCGUGAAGUUGACCGCCUGGGGAGUACGGUCGCAAGAUUAAAACUCAAAGGAAUUGACGGGGACCCGCACAAGCGGUGGAUGAUGUGGAUUAAUUCGAUGCAACGCGAAAAACCGCCUACCCUUGACAUGUCUGGGAAUCCCAAAGAGAUUUGGGAGUGCUCAUAAGAGAACCGGAACACAGGUGCUGUGGCUGUCGUCAGCUGUUGUCGUGAAGAUGUUAGGUUAAGUCCCGCAACGAGCGCAACCCUUGUCAUUAGUUGCUGAAAGAGGCACUCUAAUGAGACUGCCGGUGACAAACCGGAGGAAGGUGGGGAUGACGUCAAGUCCUCAUGGCCCUUAUGGGUAGGGCCCCUACCACACGUCAUACAAUGGUCGGGACAGAGGGUCGCCAACCCGCGAGAAGCCAAUCCCAGAAACCCGAUCGUAGUCCGGAUCGCAGUCUGCAACUCGACUGCGUGAAGUCGGAAUCGCUGGUAAUCGCGGAUCAGCAUGUCGCGGUGAAUACGUUCCCGGGUCUUGUACACCGCCCGUCACACCAUGGGAGUGGGUUUUACCAGAAGUAGUUAGCCUAACCGUAAGGAGGGCGAUUACCACGGUAGGAUUCAUGACUGGGGUGAAGUCGUAACAAGGUAG